rnacentral:rRNA from 1 species
AGUGAACGCUGGCGGUAGGCCUAACACAUGCAAGUCGAACGGCAGCACAGUAAGAGCUUGCUCUUACGGGUGGCGAGUGGCGGACGGGUGAGGAAUACAUCGGAAUCUACUUUUUCGUGGGGGAUAACGUAGGGAAACUUACGCUAAUACCGCAUACGACCUACGGGUGAAAGCAGGGGAUCUUCGGACCUUGCGCGAUUGAAUGAGCCGAUGUCGGAUUAGCUAGUUGGCGGGGUAAAGGCCCACCAAGGCGACGAUCCGUAGCUGGUCUGAGAGGAUGAUAAGCCACACUGGAACUGAGACACGGUCCAGACUCCUACGGGAGGCAGCAGUGGGGAAUAUUGGACAAUGGGCGCAAGCCUGAUCCAGCCAUACCGCGUGGGUGAAGAAGGCCUUCGGGUUGUAAAGCCCUUUUGUAGGGAAAGAAAAGCAGCAGGUUAAUACCCCGCUGUUCUGACGGUACCCAAAGAAUAAGCACCGGCUAACUUCGUG